CCUACGGGUGGCAGCAGUGGGGGAUAUUGCACAAUGGGGGAAACCCUGAUGCAGCAACGCCGCGUGUGGGAAGAAGGUUUUCGGAUUGUAAACCACUGUUCUUGGUGAAGAUAAUGACGGUAACCAAGGAGAAAGCUCCGGCUAACUACGUGCCAGCAGCCGCGGGAAUACGUAGGGAGCAAGCGUUGUCCGGAUUUGCUGGUUGUAAAGGGUACGUAGGCGGUCUUGCAAGUCAGAAGGUAAAACCACAGGGUCAAACUGUGGAAUGCGUUUGAAACUGUGGGGCUUGAGUGAAGUAGAGGUGGGCGGAAUUCCCGGUGUAGCGGUGAAAUGCGUAGAGAUAGGGAGGAACACCAGUGGCGAAGGCGGCCUACUGGGCUUUAACUGACGCUGAGGCACGAAAGCAUGGGUAGCAAACAGGAUUAGAUACCCCUGUAGUC
rnacentral:rRNA from 1 species